rnacentral:rRNA from 1 species
UUAAGUUAUUAAGGGCGCACGGUGGAUGCCUUGGCACUAGAAGCCGAUGAAGGACGUUACUAACGACGAUAUGCUUUGGGGAGCUGUAAGUAAGCUUUGAUCCAGAGAUUUCCGAAUGGGGAAACCCAGCAUGAGUUAUGUCAUGUUAUCGAUAUGUGAAUACAUAGCAUAUCAGAAGGCACACCCGGAGAACUGAAACAUCUUAGUACCCGGAGGAAGAGAAAGAAAAUUCGAUUCCCUUAGUAGCGGCGAGCGAAACGGGAAGAGCCCAAACCAACAAGCUUGCUUGUUGGGGUUGUAGGACACUCUAUACGGAGUUACAAAGGACGACAUUAGACGAAUCAUCUGGAAAGAUGAAUCAAAGAAGGUAAUAAUCCUGUAGUCGAAAAUGUUGUCUCUCUUGAGUGGAUCCUGAGUACGACGGAGCACGUGAAAUUCCGUCGGAAUCUGGGAGGACCAUCUCCUAAGGCUAAAUACUCUCUAGUGACCGAUAGUGAACCAGUACCGUGAGGGAAAGGUGAAAAGCACCCCGGAAGGGGAGUGAAAUAGAACCUGAAACCGUGUGCUUACAAGUAGUCAGAGCCCGUUAAUGGGUGAUGGCGUGCCUUUUGUAGAAUGAACCGGCGAGUUACGAUUUGAUGCAAGGUUAAGCAGUAAAUGUGGAGCCGUAGCGAAAGCGAGUCUGAAUAGGGCGUUUAGUAUUUGGUCGUAGACCCGAAACCAGGUGAUCUACCCUUGGUCAGGUUGAAGUUCAGGUAACACUGAAUGGAGGACCGAACCGACUUACGUUGAAAAGUGAGCGGAUGAACUGAGGGUAGCGGAGAAAUUCCAAUCGAACCUGGAGAUAGCUGGUUCUCUCCGAAAUAGCUUUAGGGCUAGCCUCAAGUGAUGAUUAUUGGAGGUAGAGCACUGUUUGGACGAGGGGCCCCUCUCGGGUUACCGAAUUCAGACAAACUCCGAAUGCCAAUUAAUUUAACUUGGGAGUCAGAACAUGGGUGAUAAGGUCCGUGUUCGAAAGGGAAACAGCCCAGACCACCAGCUAAGGUCCCAAAAUAUAUGUUAAGUGGAAAAGGAUGUGGCGUUGCCCAGACAACUAGGAUGUUGGCUUAGAAGCAGCCAUCAUUUAAAGAGUGCGUAAUAGCUCACUAGUCGAGUGACACUGCGCCGAAAAUGUACCGGGGCUAAACAUAUUACCGAAGCUGUGGAUUGUCCUUUGGACAAUGGUAGGAGAGCGUUCUAAGGGCGUUGAAGCAUGAUCGUAAGGACAUGUGGAGCGCUUAGAAGUGAGAAUGCCGGUGUGAGUAGCGAAAGACGGGUGAGAAUCCCGUCCACCGAUUGACUAAGGUUUCCAGAGGAAGGCUCGUCCGCUCUGGGUUAGUCGGGUCCUAAGCUGAGGCCGACAGGCGUAGGCGAUGGAUAACAGGUUGAUAUUCCUGUACCACCUAUAAUCGUUUUAAUCGAUGGGGGGACGCAGUAGGAUAGGCGAAGCGUGCGAUUGGAUUGCACGUCUAAGCAGUAAGGCUGAGUAUUAGGCAAAUCCGGUACUCAUUAAGGCUGAGCUGUGAUGGGGAGAAGACAUUGUGUCUUCGAGUCGUUGAUUUCACACUGCCGAGAAAAGCCUCUAGAUAGAAAAUAGGUGCCCGUACCGCAAACCGACACAGGUAGUCAAGAUGAGAAUUCUAAGGUGAGCGAGCGAACUCUCGUUAAGGAACUCGGCAAAAUGACCCCGUAACUUCGGGAGAAGGGGUGCUCUUUAGGGGUUAACGCCCAGAAGAGCCGCAGUGAAUAGGCCCAAGCGACUGUUUAUCAAAAACACAGGUCUCUGCUAAACCGUAAGGUGAUGUAUAGGGGCUGACGCCUGCCCGGUGCUGGAAGGUUAAGAGGAGUGGUUAGCUUCUGCGAAGCUACGAAUCGAAGCCCCAGUAAACGGCGGCCGUAACUAUAACGGUCCUAAGGUAGCGAAAUUCCUUGUCGGGUAAGUUCCGACCCGCACGAAAGGCGUAACGAUUUGGGCACUGUCUCAACGAGAGACUCGGUGAAAUCAUAGUACCUGUGAAGAUGCAGGUUACCCGCGACAGGACGGAAAGACCCCGUGGAGCUUUACUGUAGCCUGAUAUUGAAAUUCGGCACAGCUUGUACAGGAUAGGUAGGAGCCUUUGAAACGUGAGCGCUAGCUUACGUGGAGGCGCUGGUGGGAUACUACCCUAGCUGUGUUGGCUUUCUAACCCGCACCACUUAUCGUGGUGGGAGACAGUGUCAGGCGGGCAGUUUGACUGGGGCGGUCGCCUCCUAAAAGGUAACGGAGGCGCUCAAAGGUUCCCUCAGAAUGGUUGGAAAUCAUUCAUAGAGUGUAAAGGCAUAAGGGAGCUUGACUGCGAGACCUACAAGUCGAGCAGGGUCGAAAGACGGACUUAGUGAUCCGGUGGUUCCGCAUGGAAGGGCCAUCGCUCAACGGAUAAAAGCUACCCCGGGGAUAACAGGCUUAUCUCCCCCAAGAGUUCACAUCGACGGGGAGGUUUGGCACCUCGAUGUCGGCUCAUCGCAUCCUGGGGCUGUAGUCGGUCCCAAGGGUUGGCUGUUCGCCCAUUAAAGCGGUACGCGAGCUGGGUUCAGAACGUCGUAGAGACAGUUCGGUCCCUAUCCGUCGUGGGCUAGGAAUUUGAGAGGAGCUGUCCUUAGUACGAGAGGACCGGGAUGGACAUACCUCUGGUGUACCAGUUGUCGUGCCAACGGCAUAGCUGGGUAGCUAUGUGUGGACGGGAUAAGUGCUGAAAGCAUCUAAGCAUGAAGCCCCCCUCAAGAUGAGAUUUCCCAACUUCGGUUAUAAGAUCCCUCAAAGAUGAUGAGGUUAAUAGGUUCGAGGUGGAAGCAUGGUGACAUGUGGAGCUGACGAAUACUAAUCGAUCGAAGACUUAAUCAA